UCGGGUGUAGUGUACGGAACACCGCGCGUCUUCUUGGAGUUCACAAGGACAAGGGUAGCGCGCAGCCGGGGUUCGACUCCCCGCACCCGAA